CAAACGUAAGCAAAAAGUCAAGCCUUACCAUGAAUGCAGACGGUUUUCGACGCAGUUACCAACUUCCAUCAGUCUUCAAAGAGAUACCGUUUCAUGUAGAGUGCCUCAGAAAAGCAGGAUACCUUCCCUCCGGGAUCCUCGCCAGGCGUUUGGCAUAAAGGUGUCGAGUCCACUUUUUUAUCCUAAGCAAGAAAACUCAAUGUAACACCAACGCCCACCCAUGUCUUUAUGACAUCUGGCGGCGGAGGAUGGAACAACCAUUCCCCUUCUGUUAAAAAGGCAUUGUCCAGGAUAAUAAAUAUCAAGGCACACUGUUAUUUACAAGAAAUGUGAUGGAAACCUUAACAUUACAACA